rnacentral:lncRNA from 1 species
ACCACAGAGUGUGAACCAAACAGGCCCCAAACACAACCACAGUCCUCCAAGACCACAGAGUACAAACCAAACAGGCCGCAAACACAACCAGUCCUCCAAGACCACAGAGUGCAAACCAAACGGGACCCAAACAGAACAUAAGUCCUCCAAGACCAUAGAGACCAAUACAUACAGGCCGCAAACACAACCAGUCCUCCAAGACCAUAGAGUGAGACCCAAACAGGCCCCAAACAGAACCUAAGUCCUCCAGGACCAUAGAGACCAACACAAACUGACCCAAAACUGAACAAGAAUCCUCCAAGACCAUAGAGUCCAACCCAAACAGGCUGCAAACACAACCAGUCCUCCAGGACCAUAGAGUCCGACCAAAACAGGCCGCAAACACAACCAGUCCUCCAAGAGCAUAGAGUCCGACCCAAACAGGCCGCAAACACAACCAGUCCUCCAGGACCAUAGAGUCCGACCCAAACAGGCCACAAAUGCACCACAAACUCUAUGGUCAAUGCGGGUCUUUCCCCAUAGGACCCAUCGAUAAGGCUCUCUUAAAAGGGUCACACCGGCGGGCCCCACCGCCCAUAGAGAAACACAGGAGGGAACGCCAUCAAGGGGACACGGCCCCUUUAAGAGAGAUGGCCGGGAAAAGUGGGUCAGCGCUGAUUGGCUGCGGCCCAAAGCCGGGAAAUAAAGCAGAGGGGAGCUGAAAGGGGGCCGGAAGUCCUCCAGCCCCAUAAGUCGGUCCUCCAGCCCCACAAGUCGGUCCUCCAGCCCCAUAAGUGAGUCCUCCAGCCCCACAAGUGAGUCCUCCAGACCUAUAAGUGAGUCCUCCAGCCCUACAAGUAGGUCCUCCAGCCCCACACCUCAGUCCUCCAGCCCUAUAAGUGAGUCCUCCAGCCCGACAUCCCAGUCCUCCAGCCCCACAAGUGGGUCCUCCAGCCCUACAAGUCGGUCCUCCAGCCCCACAUCCCAGUCCUCCAGCCCUACAAGUGGGUCCUCCAGACCCACAACAAAGUCCUCCAGCCCCACAAGUCGGUCCUCCAGCCCAAUAAGUGGGUCCUCCAGCCCCACACCUCAGUCCUCCAGCCCCACACCGAGGUCCUCCAGCCCCAGAAGUGAGUCCGCCAGACCCAGAAGUCGGUCCUCCAGCCCCACAAGUCAGUCCUCCAGACCUACAAGUCAGUCCUCCAGCCCCAUAAGUGAGUCCUCCAGCCCCAAAACUCAGUCCUCCAGCCCCACAACUUGGUCCUCCAGCCCCACACCGAGGUCCUCCAGCCCUAUAAGUGAGUCCUCCAGCCCCACACCUCAGUCCUCCAGCCCCACACCCCAGUCCUCCAGCCCCACAAGUGAGUCCUCCAGCCCCACAUUCGAGUCCUCCAGCCCCA